UACGAACCGUACAAACGUUAUUCGGAAUCACUGGGCUUAAAGGGUGCGUAGGCGGCCAUGUAAGUGAGGUGUGAAAUCCCUCGGCUCAACCGAGGAACUGCGCUUCAUACUGCAUGGCUUGAGGGAGACAGGGGUAAGCGGAACUGAUGGUGGAGCGGUGAAAUGCGUUGAUAUCAUCAGGAACACCGGUGGCGAAAGCGGCUUGCCAGAACGCACUCGACGGUGAGGGAUGAAAGCUGGGGGAGCAAACCGG
rnacentral:rRNA from 1 species